AGCGCUUGGAGCGCCAACAAAAAAGAGAGAGCGGUGCGAUAUUUGUUCUUAUCAGCUUGAUAUCUGAUACGGAUUCUGUUGGACCGACAAUAUUAGACUUACUUUUGCAAGUUGGCGGUGUGCUUGAAGCAUGCUUCGGCUCGGCCGCAGGUCGGCCCGGUAUUGUACUACAUAUCUCCAGGAAUCCACCUACGAUUU